UCCUACGGGAGGCAGCAGUAGGGAAUCUUCCGCAAUGGACGAAAGUCUGACGGAGCAACGCCGCGUGAGUGAUGAAGGCUUUCGGGUCGUAAAACUCUGUUGUUAGGGAAGAACAAGUGCUAGUUGAAUAAGCUGGCACCUUGACGGUACCUAACCAGAAAGCCACGGCUAACUACGUGCCAGCAGCCGCGGUAAUACGUAGGUGGCAAGCGUUAUCCGGAAUUAUUGGGCGUAAAGCGCGCGCAGGUGGUUUCUUAAGUCUGAUGUGAAAGCCCACGGCUCAACCGUGGAGGGUCAUUGGAAACUGGGAGACUUGAGUGCAGAAGAGGAAAGUGGAAUUCCAUGUGUAGCGGUGAAAUGCGUAGAGAUAUGGAGGAACACCAGUGGCGAAGGCGACUUUCUGGUCUGUAACUGACACUGAGGCGCGAAAGCGUGGGGAGCAAACAGGAUUAGAUACCCUGGUAGUCCACGCCGUAAACGAUGAGUGCUAAGUGUUAGAGGGUUUCCGCCCUUUAGUGCUGAAGUUAACGCAUUAAGCACUCCGCCUGGGGAGUAUGGCCGCAAGGCUGAAACUCAAAGGAAUUGACGGA
rnacentral:rRNA from 1 species